UACGUAGGGCGCAAGCGUUGUCCGGAAUUAUUGGGCGUAAAGAGCUCGUAGGCGGCCUGUUACGUCUGCUGUGAAAUCCCGGGGCUUAACCCCGGGCGUGCAGUGGAUACGGGCAGGCUAGAGUUCGGUAGGGGAGACUGGAAUUCCUGGUGUAGCGGUGAAAUGCGCAGAUAUCAGGAGGAACACCGGUGGCGAAGGCGGGUCUCUGGGCCGGAACUGACGCUGAGGAGCGAAAGCGUGGGGAGCGAACAGG
rnacentral:rRNA from 1 species